CCCCGCCCUCACCCCAGCCUUGGGCCUCCGUAGCUGUGCAGCUACCUAGUUCCACACUACAGAGGCACAGGAGGACAUAAAGACCAUUGUCCUGAGCUGCAGAAGUGAACAACAAAGAGAGGGCCUCUCUCAGCUCCCUGAUGAAAACUGAAGCCCACUGGAAAAGUGAAGAGAAUCUCUGCAAUAAUUGGCACACCAGACCACCGUGCUUGCUCCCGACUGCUGAGUGUGUCACCGGUGGCGAGGCUGCCUGCCAGGUGGAAGCACCCGAAACACGGCUCCCAGAUGCAAACUGCAGGACUCCGAAGCUCCGGAGAGCCUGGUGCAGUUCCCACACUAAAUGGCCGUAACCAGAGGGUCAGCUCUCAGGGACCUGGCAGUGAGCUUGGGAAAGAGAGGCAUUCAGCAAAACCACAACACAUUGACUUUUAAAUGGAAAACUCCAAAUUUAUUCCAAUUUCCAUGCGGGAUCAUCCUGAAAGACAGCGUAGCUGCAAUUUGGGAAAUAUGAUGCCUCAGAGGACCCUGUCCAACAUAUUGCAGAAUGAAUCCUGAGUGGUUUUGAAUUUGGUCAUCAAGUCCUAAAAAUUCACGGAAUUAAUGGCUCAGCCAAAUCACAGUUUGCAAGCUCAGCGCUCUCUUCCUGCUGAAGCGAGCAGUGUGUGGACACCUCACAAAGGUCCAGGAGAGGCGGCCAGGCGCUAACCUCCCGCAAGCAGGUUCUCCAUGGCUGCCUCCUCCUUCCCUCCAUCGCAGAUGGCCCUGACCGUGGUCAGCACGGCUGAACUGGCCUUGGAGAGGGAGUGGGGGGCCUCACUGCCAGACCCUGGAGCCAGGGCUCCACGGGAACAACGCAGUGCUGCGUGGCCGGGAAGAUGGCCGAGGUCAGUGGCGACCAAUGACCUCACUGGACCCCGGCUGGCACCUGGCCUCACCUAGCUGCACACAGCCCCCGGCCACUCUCAAGUGUCUGCCCGCCUCUCUGGACGCAUGCACAAGCUUCCUCCACCCUGAGAGCUGGGAAGGCUCCUGCCUUGGGCUCGUGUCACAGCUCAGAUGUCAGCAGCCCUGGGACUUCAGGGACCCUGAGUCCUCCUGAACCUCCAUUCUCUCCUCUCCACAACAGAGGCCAAGUGCUGCUGCCUUGCUUAGUUUUC
rnacentral:lncRNA from 1 species